rnacentral:ncRNA from 1 species
UAAAUACUUAAUUAUGGUAUUGAAUAUGUAUACAUAUUUAUAAUUUAUAUGAAUUUUGGUUUAAAUUUAAUUUUAGUAGUAUAUAGUAUUAAUUAUUAAAGAAUUUUAGAAUUAGUAAAAUAAUUUAAUAUAUGCAAAUUUUGUGCCAGCAGCAGCGGUUAUACAAAAUAUAUAAUAUAUAUUUAUUAGUUUUAAUUAAUUAGAAUAAUUAUUAAAAAAAAAAUUAAAUUUUAAGGUGAAAUUUUAAUUUAAAAUUAUUUUUAAUUAAAUUUUAUGAAGUUAAGAAAUUUUUAUUUAAACUAGGAUUAGAUACCCUAUUAUUUUAAAUGUAAAAAUAAAAAACUAAGUGAUUAAUAGUUAAGUUCUUUAAAGCUAAAUAAUUUGGCGGUAUUUUAAACUUUUCAGAGGAACCUGUUCUGUAAUUGAUAAUCCACGAUUGAAUUAACUUUAAUUAGAAAUUUUUAUAUCGUCGUUUUUAAAUAUUUUUAAAGAAUCAAAUAUUUAUAAUUUUUAAUAGAAAAUAAAUCAGAUCAAGGUGAAGUUAAUAUUAAAGAAGAAAUGGGUUACAAUAAAUUAUAUUUAUGAAUUUUUAAUUGAAAAUUAAAAUGAAAUUGGAUUUGAAAGUAAUUAGAAAAACUUUUUUUUGAUGAUUUAGCACUAAAAUAUGUACAUAUUGCCCGUCGCUUUCACUUAAUAUGGAAUAAGUCGUAACAUAGUAGAUUUACUGGAAAGUGGUUCUAGAAUGAU